rnacentral:rRNA from 1 species
CGGAGGAAAANAAACCAACCGGGAUUGCCUCAGUAACGGCGAGUGAAGCGGCAAGAGCUCAAAUUUGAAAGCUGGCUCCUUCGGAGUCCGCAUUGUAAUUUGCAGAGGAUGCUUUGGGUGCGGCCCCCGUCUAAGUGCCCUGGAACGGGCCGUCAGAGAGGGUGAGAAUCCCGUCUUGGGCGGGGUGUCCGUGCCCGUGUAAAGCUCCUUCGACGAGUCGAGUUGUUUGGGAAUGCAGCUCUAAAUGGGUGGUAAAUUUCAUCUAAAGCUAAAUACUGGCCGGAGACCGAUAGCGCACAAGUAGAGUGAUCGAAAGAUGAAAAGCACUUUGAAAAGAGAGUUAAACAGCACGUGAAAUUGUUGAAAGGGAAGCGCUUGCGACCAGACUCGCCCGCGGGGUUCAGCCGGCAUUCGUGCCGGUGUACUUCCCCGUGGGCGGGCCAGCGUCGGUUUGGGCGGCCGGUCAAAGGCCCCUGGAAUGUAGUACCCUCCGGGGUACCUUAUAGCCAGGGGUGCAAUGCGGCCAGCCUGGACCGAGGAACGCGCUUCGGCACGGACGCUGGCAUAAUGGUCGUAAACGACCCGUCUUGAAACACGGACCAAGGAGUCUAACAUCUACGCGAGUGUUCGGGUGUCAAACCCGUGCGCGCAGUGAAAGCGAACGGAGGUGGGAGCCCCCUCGCGGGGCGCACCAUCGACCGAUCCUGAUGUCUUCGGAUGGAUUUGAGUAAGAGCGUAAAUGUGGGGACCCGAAAGAUGGUGAACUAUGCCUGAAUAGGGCGAAGCCAGAGGAAACUCUGGUGGAGGCUCGCAGCGGUUCUGACGUGCAAAUCGAUCGUCAAAUUUGGGUAUAGGGGCGAAAGACUAAUCGAACCAUCUAGUAG